UUUAAGUGCCUUGAUCAAGGGCACAACGGCAGGAGAUGGUAGGCCUACAUGGGAUCAGACACUGCAGCCUUCCAGUGUCAAAAAUGCUUACUAUUUCAUGUAGGGUAUAAUAAUGGUUAAAAGUCAAGGAGAAGUCAUUGAAAAUGUUUAUGAACCCCUUAACAGUGAAKAACUAGAGRUCUCUAUAGCAUAAUGUCAUUUUAGAAUUUCUGUAAAUAUAGUCUUUAAUGGACUGACUUGGAAAAAGACAGCUCCUSCACUUCUUUCAUCCAAAAUCAAGCACUGACUACAACCAGUUAGCAAGUUCAAAAUGUCAGUAUGUGUUCACACUCAGAUUACAAGGGGUUAAUGCCGCAUUCAAAACAACUGGGAACUCAGGAAAUCUUCGACUUCAGUGCGUUCAAAACAACUGGGAACUCAGGGAAAAGAGAGCUCCGAUUGSGGAAAAAUCUUUUUGAACAGUCAUCCGACUCGGUAUUCCAAGUCGGAAACUCGGGUAUCUUUCUUGAGCUCCGACCUGAAGAUCACUGAUGUCAUGAUUUGAUCUCGUUUUUGUCCGAGUUCCCAGUUGUCUUGAAAGCACCAUAUUUUGACACCAGUGGAUGACUCGGGGGAUGACGUCAGGUAACAUGUCUGCCCCGGUUGAGGCAAUGCUGUCAUAAGCCAAUUUUGUGGGGAUUGGUGUAAAAACAUUAUUAUUCUGUAAUACAAUAGAUACAGCAUGUAAAUAUGCUAUUUCUGUUUGUUAUUUGUAAUAAAAUAGCAAAAAUGUAUUAAAAAAACUGUUUUUGCUGUUUCAUUAUGUGUUUAGAUUGAUUUUUAUAAAUUUCAGAAUAAGGCUGUAACGUAACAAAAUGUGGAAAAAGAGAAGGGGUCUGAAUACUUAAUGAAUGCACUGUAGAUAUGCAAGCUAGCUGACCCCGUUUUGUUGGUACAUAAUUUCAUGUUAAUGUAUUGCACUAUGCAACGCACUAGCUACCUAAUGUUUUCUGUCUUUGUCAAUCACUUCAAAUCACGUUGCUAACUAUAGUUCAUUUAGGGGGAGUUAAUCUAAAUGUGUGAUAUCCAUGAUCACCUGUUUGUUUCUCAGGACCUGUGGAACUGAUAUGCUGCACAAUCACGAUAAGGUGAGUAUGUGGCCUGGCAGGAAACACUUCAUCCAAUACAGCUUGUACAAUACAUGGCACACUAUUCUGUGAGUUGUGGAAGCUGUCUUGUUUCUUACCCUGUACGUAAACCACAAUCUGUCUAUCUCAUAGAAUGAGAAGUACUACUAGGGUAUUAGUGCUGCUGUGAGCAGAGUGAAGGCAUGGGGGGAGAAAGUCAUAAUUCUGGACAUUGGCACUGGAACAGGACUGCUUUCCAUGAUGGCUGUCACAGCUGGUGCUGGCUACUGCCAUGCUGUGGAGGUUUUCAAGCCCAUGRCAGAUGCUGCUCUCCGAACGGUGAAGAUAAAUGGCUUCUCCGACAAUUUCAAGAUCAUCAAUACACAAGUGACAGUUCGACCAAAUGGAGACAUGCAGACUCGAGCCAAAGUCCUCGUCACAGAGCUGUUUGACACAGAACUGAUUGGAGAGGGAGCCUUACCCCUAUGAACACGCUCAUCCCGAGUGGCGCAGCGGUCUAAGGCAUUGCAUCUCAGUGCUAGAGGCGUCACUACAGACCCUGGUUCGAUUC